rnacentral:rRNA from 1 species
AUUGAACGCUGGCGGCAGGCCUAACACAUGCAAGUCGAACGAGUGGCGGACGGGUGAGUAAUGUCUGGGACACUGCCUGAUGGAGGGGGAUAACUACUGGAAACGGUAGCUAAUACCGCAUCCCAUCAGAUGUGCCCAUAUGGGAUUAGCUAGUAGGUGGGGUAAAGGCUCACCUAGGCGACGAUCCCUAGCUGGUCUGCGAGGAUGACCAGCCACACUGGAACUGAGACACGGUCCAGACUCCUACGGGAGGCAGCAGUGGGGAAUAGUGCACAAUGGGCGCAAGCCUGAUGCAGCCAUGCCGCGUGUAUGAAGAAGGCCUUCGGGUUGUAAAGUACUUUCAGCUGGGAGGCGUUACCCGCAGAAGAAGCACCGGCUAACUCCGUGCCAGCAGCCGCGGUAAUAC